CUGAUAACCUAGAGUAUGGAAGGGGCAGGUGGAAUUAGUGGUGUAGGGGUAAAAUCCGUAGAUAUCACUAGGAAUACCGAAAGCGAAGGCGACCUGCUGGGACAUUACUGACGCUGAGGCGUGAAAGCGUGGGGAGCAAACAGGAUUAGAUACCCUGGUAGUCCACGCCCUAAACGAUGAAUGCUAGUCGUCGGGGAGCUCGUCUCUUCGGUGAUGCACUUAACAGAUUAAGCAUUCCGCCUGGGGAGUACGGUCGCAAGAUUAAAACUCAAAGGAAUAGACGGGGACCCGCACAAGUGGUGGAGCAUGUGGUUUAAUUCGAAGAUACGCGAAGAACCUUACCUAGCCUUGACAUUGAUUGAAUUUUCCAGAGAUGGAGAAGUGCCUUUCGGGGAACAUGAAAACAGGUGCUGCACGGCUGUCGUCAGCUCGUGUCGUGAGAUGUUGGGUUAAGUCCCGCAACGAGCGCAACCCUCGUCGUUAGUUGCUAACAGGUUAAGCUGAGCACUCUAGCGAGACUGCCUUCGCAAGGAGGAGGAAGGUGAGGACGACGUCAAGUCAUCAUGGCCCUUAUGGCUAGGGCUACACACGUGCUACAAUGGGGCGUACAGAGAGUUGCGAUACCGCGAGGUGGAGCCAAUCUCAUAAAGCGUCUCUCAGUUCGGAUUGUUCUCUGCAACUCGAGAACAUGAAGCUGGAAUCACUAGUAAUCGUAGAUCAGCAACGCUACGGUGAAUACGUUCCCGGGUCUUGUACUCACCGCCCGUCACACCAUGGGAGUUGAUUUCGCCCGAAGCGAGGAUGCUAAACUAGCUACUCUCUACGGCGGAAUUAGCGACUGGGGUGAAGUCGUAACAAGGUAACC
rnacentral:rRNA from 1 species